rnacentral:rRNA from 1 species
UACGGGGGGAGCAAGCGUUGUUCGGAUUUACUGGGCGUAAAGGGCGCGUAGGCGGCCACCGCAAGUCGACUGUGAAAUCUCCGGGCUUAACCCGGAAAGGUCAGCCGAUACUGCGGGGCUAGAGUGCAGAAGGGGCAACUGGAAUUCUCGGUGUAGCGGUGAAAUGCGUAGAUAUCGAGAGGAACACCUGCGGCGAAGGCGGCAUCCUGGACCGGCAUUGACGCUGAGGAGCGAAAGCCAGGGGAGCAAACGGG